GGCAGAGAAGGGCUGAGCUUUAAUGUAUGUACAUCUGUACAUACAUAUGUAUCCCGAAUUACGAAAAAACAUGUCAUGGAUGGUGACAGGAAACUUAUAAGGGAGGGAAAUGUCGAAAUCAGCUGAACAUAAACAAAUCAAACAAUGAUGACUUUGAUAGCUAACGUUUCAAAACGGAGGAAAAUUACUCAGUUAUAGCUAUUAUAAUAAAGAAGUAAUCAUCAUGAUGUAUUAGUUUACACUUUAUGACUUUGCAAUGAAUUGAUAAUUAAAACGAGUAACGGGUAUAAUGA